rnacentral:rRNA from 1 species
AUUGAACGCUGGCGGCAUGCUUUACACAUGCAAGUCGAACGGCAGCGCGGGGGCAACCCUGGCGGCGAGUGGCGAACGGGUGAGUAAUGCAUCGGAACGUAUCCUGUAAUGGGGGAUAACGUAGCGAAAGUUACGCUAAUACCGCAUACGCUCGAGAGUGGAAAGUGGGGGAUCGCAAGACCCCACGUUAUAGGAGCGGCCGAUGUCCGAUUAGCUAGUUGGUGGGGUAAAGGCCUACCAAGGCGACGAUCGGUAGCUGGUCUGAGAGGAUGAUCAGCCACACUGGGACUGAGACACGGCCCAGACUCCUACGGGAGGCAGCAGUGGGGAAUUUUGGACAAUCGGCGAAAGCCUGAUCCAGCCAUGCCGCGUGCGGGAAGAAGGCCUUCGGGUUGUAAACCGCUUUAGUCCGGGAAAAAGGGGUGCGAGGAUAAUACCCUUGUGCUUUGAUGGUACUGGAAGAAUAAGCACCGGCUAACUACGUGCCAGCAGCCGCGGUAAUACGUAGGGUGCGAGCGUUAAUCGGAAUUACUGGGCGUAAAGCGUGCGCAGGCGGUCUUGUAAGACAGUCGUGAAAGCCCCGGGCUUAACCUGGGAACUGCGAUUGUGACUGCAAGGCUAGAGUGUGUCAGAGGGGGGUGGAAUUCCACGUGUAGCAGUGAAAUGCGUAGAGAUGUGGAGGAACACCGAUGGCGAAGGCAGCCCCCUGGGAUAACACUGACGCUCAUGCACGAAAGCCUGGGGAGC